UACGGAGGAUCCAAGCGUUUAUCCGGAAUCAUUGGGUUUAAAGGGUCCGUAGGCGGUUUGGUAAGUCAGUGGUGAAAGCCCCAUCGCUCAACGGUGGAACGGCCAUUGAUACUGCUAAACUUGAAUUAUUAGGAAGUAACUAGAAUAUGUAGUGUAGCGGUGAAAUGCUUAGAGAUUACAUGGAAUACCAAUUGCGAAGGCAGGUUACUACUAAUGGAUUGACGCUGAUGGACGAAAGCGUGGGUAGCGAACAGG
rnacentral:rRNA from 1 species